UGGGGAAUUUUGGACAAUGGGGGCAACCCUGAUCCAGCAAUGCCGCGUGUGUGAAGAAGGCCUUCGGGUUGUAAAGCACUUUUGUACGGGCAGAUAUCGCACCUGAUAAUACCGGGUGUGGCUGACGUGACCGGAAGAAUAAGGACCGGCUAACUACGUGCCAGCAGCCGCGGUAAUACGUAGGGUCUAAGCGUUAAUCGGACUUACUGGGCGUAAAGCGGGCGCAGGCUGUUGUGCAAGACCGAUGUGAAAUCCCCGGGCUUAACCUGAGAAUUGCGUUGGUGACUGCACGGCUAGAGUGUGUCAGAGGGAGGUAGAAUUCCACGUGUAGCAGUGAAAUGCGUAGAGAUGUGGAGGAAUACCGAUGGCGAAGGCAGCCCCCUGGGAUAACACUGACACUCCUGCACGAAAGCGUUGGGAGCAAACAGG
rnacentral:rRNA from 1 species